rnacentral:rRNA from 1 species
UACGGGGGGGGCAAGCGUUGUUCGGACUUACUGGGCGUAAAGGGCUCGUAGGUGGCCAAGUAAGUCAGACGUGAAAUCCCUCGGCUUAACCGGGGAACUGCGUCUGAUACUGGAUGGCUAGAGAUUGGGAGAGGGAUGCGGAAUUCCAGGUGUAGCGGUGAAAUGCGUAGAUAUCUGGAGGACCACCGGUGGCGAAGGCGGCAUCCUGGACAAACACUGAGGCUGAGGAGCGAAAGCCAGGGGAGCAAACGGG